UACGUAGGGUGCAAGCGUUGUCCGGAAUUAUUGGGCGUAAAGAGCUCGUAGGCGGUCUGUCGCGUCUGCUGUGAAAACUCAGGGCUUAACCCUGAGCUUGCAGUGGGUACGGGCAGACUAGAGUGGCGGUAGGGGAGACUGGAAUUCCUGGUGUAGCGGUGAAAUGCGCAGAUAUCAGGAGGAACACCGAGUGGCGAAGGCAGGUCUCUGGGCCAACUACUGAC
rnacentral:rRNA from 1 species